CCCUUAGAUGUUCUGGGCCGCACGCGCGCUACAAUGACAAGUUCAUCGAGGAACUCGGCUUAUCGGCCCGGUGAAUCUCUAAAUACUUGUCGUGAUGGGGCUAGACCCUUGCAAUUGUUGGUCUCCAACGAGGAAUUCCUAGUAAGCGCAAGUCAUCAACUUGCACUGAUUACGUCCCUGCCCUUUGUACACACCGCCCGUCGCACCUACCGAUUGAAUGGUCCGGUGAAUCCCACGGACGGAGAACUUCGUGUUUUCCGGAAGUGGAGUGAACCUUACCAUUUAGAGGAAGGUGAANUCGUANCA
rnacentral:rRNA from 1 species